rnacentral:rRNA from 1 species
AUUGAACUCUGGCGGCAGGCCUAACACAUGCAAGUCGAGCGAGCGGCGGACGGGAGAGUAAUGUCUGGGAAACUGCCUGAUGGAGGGGGAUAACUACUGGAAACGGUAGAUAAUACCGCAUACCAUCAGAUGUGCCCCAAGGGGAUUAGCUAGUAGGUGGGUUAACGGCUCACCUAGGCGCCGAUCACUAGCUGGUCUUAGAGGAUGACCAGCCACACUGGAACGGAGACACGGUCCAGACUCAUACGGGAGGCAGCAGUGGGGAAUAUUGCACAAUGGGCGCAAGCCUGAUGCAGCCAUGCCGCGUGUAUGAAGAAGGCCUUCGGGUUGUAAAGUACUUUCAGCGAGGAGGCGUUACUCGCAGAAGAAGCACCGGCUAACUCCGUGCCAGCAGCCGCGGUAAUAC